UACGAAAGGGGCUAGCGUUGCUCGGAAUUACUGGGCGUAAAGCGCGCGUAGGCGGGUCGUUAAGUCGGGGGUGAAAUCCUGGAGCUCAACUCCAGAACUGCCUUCGAUACUGGCGAUCUUGAGUCCGGGAGAGGUGAGUGGAACUCCGAGUGUAGAGGUGAAAUUCGUAGAUAUUCGGAAGAACACCAGUGGCGAAGGCGGCUCACUGGCCCGGUACUGACGCUGAGGUGCGAAAGCGUGGGGAGCAAACAGG
rnacentral:rRNA from 1 species